rnacentral:rRNA from 1 species
AUUGAACGCUGGCGGAAUGCUUUACACAUGCAAGUUGAACGGCAGCACGAGGGCAACCUUGGUGGCGAGUGGCGAACGGGUGAGUAAUACAUCGGAACGUGCCCAGUCGUGGGGGAUAACGUAGCGAAAGCUACGCUAAUACCGCAUACGAUCUAUGGAUAAAAGCGGGGGACCGUAAGGCCUCGCGCGAUUGGAGCGGCCGAUGGCAGAUUAGGUAGUUGGUGGGGUAAAAGGCUCACCAAGCCUGCGAUCUGUAGCUGGUCUGAGAGGACGACCAGCCACACUGGAACUGAGACACGGUCCAGACUCCUACGGGAGGCAGCAGUGGGGAAUUUUGGACAAUGGGCGCAAGCCUGAUCCAGCCAUUCCGCGUGCAGGAUGAAGGCCU